GACACUUUGCUAUCAGGUCGACGCCGCGUCGCCCAGAGCCAGGAGGCGUCCUGCUCCUCGAUUGAUAUCAGCCCAAGCCGAGGCAGCCAAAGUCGAUUUAGAGUGUCUGCUCCUGCUGCAGCACAAGCUCCAGCUCCAGCUCCAGUUCCAGCUCCAGGUGGUGGUGGCGGUGGCGGUCCCUCUGCCUGGUUCCGUACCCGUAUCCAUUGUCCGCAGUGACAGCUCAGUCUUUUGUGCCAGUUGUGUUGUCGCAUUCGGGGCUUGGACCUGCCAUGGCUGCCAUCGGUCCAUUGUCUGCGGCGGCCAUUCAAACGGAGAGUGGUUCCAAUUGUGUAUAAUUGAAAUCGGGAAAGAACUCGACACAAAACAAAAUGAGAGAAAUAAAGGAGGAAAAGGAAAAAACUGGUUGUAAAUCAACUCGAGCCGGUUCGGGGUCGUUUCUUGCCAAAAAUAACAGAAUUAAUUAUAAUAAUGACAAAGAACAAGCGCUUCUACCUCGACCUCGCCCCGAUUCCGAUUCCGAUCCCGACUCCGUCUACACCACCAUCUCCAUCCUCGUGUCCGUGACUUUAGAUGGCCCCCGCCGAGCGCGUUCGGGGGCUAAUUGUGAAUGUGGAUUACAAUUUCGCGUGUGCGUCCCCGCUCCGAGGCCGAGGCAAAGAAAGAAAAGCCAGAAAAAUGAAUUUACAAAUAUUUCUUCCUGGGAGUGCUCUUGCUCUUGCUUUGCGCUCUGUGGUCAGCCGUCCCCGUGGAAGUGGAAGUGGAAUCGGAGACGGAGACUCGCUCCAGGCCCCUUCCUGGACGAGAAUAUCGCGCUUGGCCGGCCUCUCGUGUGCGCUGGGCGUGACUUCAAUUAAAGUGAUUUGUAGCCUCCGUUUUUGACAUUCGAGACAUAUAUAGUAAGCCUGAUUCAUGGCGCAAGCAAAGUAUUUUCGUACACGGUCCUCGACCCAACAAAGUUUCUAAGUCACGCACUGACCGGCGAAGUCGUCUCUAAGGGGGUCGAUUGAAUUGGGAACCCCGACUGCUCCAGGCCCGGACAAAAUGCCGUCGGGCCAAAGCAAAGAGCAGCAGCCCGGGCAGCAAAAAUGCGCCAUCAUGGCCUCGCAUAAACAUAAAGAAGAAGAACGUAUGAGAGAGAGAAAAAGAGAGAGAGAGAGAGAGAGGGAGAGAGCAGUCGCGGAAUGUGGUGAUUGCGAUACGCCGACGCUGACGUUGACAGCAGCGGCAGCCAUCAUGGAUGAGAGAGAAGAAAUAACGUCGCUCCUCUCGCUCUCGCUCUCGCUCUUGCUGCCGGUCUCAUUCUCGCUGGUGCCACAGCCAUGCUGCCAAGCAAACGCUGCCGCCAGUAAGUAAAUAUGCUGUUGGAGUGGUCCAACAGCUACCGGUUCUGGUCGUGCGCCGAUGUCGACAUCAAACAGACAGAGGAAGGACUUCCAGGACAAGAGCUUUCACGGAGCCCAAUGCCAGUUUGAUUCCCGUCCGACCCCUGGGGCGAGAAUGUCGCCAGGCCGCAGCUGUUCCAGCUCUUCCAGGUACCCCAGUCGGGACUCUGGACUCUCUCAUCUCUGCGUGUGCGUGUGUGUGUGUGGACUAGUGCGGUUGUGUGUUUUUAUGGCAUUUGUGGAUUAGGCCCAUAAAAACUACACUUCCCCACGGAGAUACGUAGCGCACUAACAAAGGAUGAAAAUUGGAAAAGUCCCGCAGCCACUCAACUGGUGAGUGAAAAUACUAAGUAAAGAACGGAAUAAGCAGAUGGAAUGCAUUCAUUUAACGAUCUUUUUCUGGUCUUGAGUUGUUUUUCCGAUUAAUUUCCUGAUUUAUAAUUUUCAUUUGUGCAAUUUACAAAACGAUGCAUCAUUAAUGCAAUUAAACCGCAAUAAACGCGGCCAAAUAAAACCAGGACAAAACACAGACAGACAGUCGACUGUAUAGAUGAAUUGGGCAGACAUUUGGCCUGCACUCGUAUAAAUUUUAUGAGUACUUUCGAACUGACUCGUGAGCGAGUGUGGAUGGCACAGAGACCCACAUUUCGGAUAGGGCGCAGGGCAGGGAUGUGGAUGCAAAGGAAGUGACCGCAUCGGAGGAUUAAAAAUGAUAGCGUGAGAAGGCAUUUUGUAAUCGUCAUCCAAAUUACUUUCUAAAAACACUCAUUCCUUCCGACCGCUCAUCUGUGGAGAAGGGCAGGGCAACCGCAAGUCGAGUCAAACAAGCCGUAAACCGACGCCAUAAAAGUGUAUCAAAUUAGGGACUGAAACCGAUUCAGGAGAAUUCGUUUUACAACUACAACUAAAUGCUGAUACCAUAUAUCGUGGUUUUGAGUCAGAUUUUUGAAGUUCAACUCAACUUUUAAACAUGUCCCUCUUCUUUAUGGUUAGAAAUACACCAGCGAUUAUACCUAUUAUAACAGGCAUUCAGUAAACACGGCAAAUACAUCUCUUUAUUCUCCUUAUUUUGUAAGUUGUCUUUAUUGUUUUAAAAGUGUUUCUCAUUGCAUGGUCUGGUUUAUU
rnacentral:sRNA from 1 species